rnacentral:rRNA from 1 species
UACGAAGGGGGCUAGCGUUGCUCGGAAUCACUGGGCGUAAAGCGCACGUAGGCGGAUUGCUAAGUCAGGGGUGAAAUCCUGGAGCUCAACUCCAGAACUGCCUUUGAUACUGGCGACCUUGAGUCCGGGAGAGGUGAGUGGAACUGCGAGUGUAGAGGUGAAAUUCGUAGAUAUUCGGCAAGAACACCAGUGGCGAAGGCGGCUCACUGGCCCGGUACUGACGCUGAGGUGCGAAAGCGUGGGGAGCAAACAGG